rnacentral:rRNA from 1 species
GACGAGGGAUCCUAGCGUUGUUCGGAAUCAUUGGGCGUAAAGCGGGUGUAGGUGGUCUGAUAAGUCAGAUGUGAAAGCCCAGGGCUUAACCCUGGAAGUGCAUUUGAUACUGUCAGGCUUGAGUGUGGGAGAGGAUAGCAGAAUUCCUGGUGUAGUGGUGAAAUACGUAGAUAUCAGGAGGAAUACCGGAGGCGAAAGGCGGCUAUCUGGCCCAACACUGACAC